rnacentral:rRNA from 1 species
GACGUAGGGCGCGAGCGUUGUCCGGAUUUAUUGGGCGUAAAGAGCUCGUAGGCGGCUUGUCGCGUCGGACUGUGAAAUCCCGCGGCUCAACUGCGGGGUCUGCAGUCGAUACGGGCAGGCUAGAGUUCGGUAGGGGAGACUGGAAUUCCUAGUGUAGAGGUGAAAUUCGUAGAUAUUAGGAAGAACACCGGAUGGCGAAGGCGGGCAUCCUGGACCGGUAUUGACGCUGAGGCGCGAAAGCUAGGGGAGCAAACGGG